rnacentral:rRNA from 1 species
GACGAACGCUGGCGGCGUGCUUAACACAUGCAAGUCGAACGCUGAAGCUCAGCUUUUGUUGGGUGGAUGAGUGGCGAACGGGUGAGUAACACGUGAGUAACCUGCCCCCUUCUUUGGGAUAACGCCCGGAAACGGGUGCUAAUACUGGAUAUUCACUGGUCUUCGCAUGGGGGUUGGUGGAAAGGGUUUUUCUGGUGGGGGAUGGGCUCGCGGCCUAUCAGCUUGUUGGUGGGGUGAUGGCCUACCAAGGCUUUGACGGGUAGCCGGCCUGAGAGGGUGACCGGUCACAGUGGGACGGAGAUACGGCCCAGACUACUACGGGAGGAAGCAGUGGGGAAUAUUGCACAAUGGGCGCAAGCAUGAUGCAGCGACGCCGCGUGAGGGAUGGAGGCCGUCGGGUUGUGAACCUCUUUCGCUCAUGGUCAAGCCGCAACAAUGGUUGUGGUGAGGGUAGUGGGUAAAGAAGCGCCGGCUAACUACGUG